UGCCAGACUCCUACGGGAGGCAGCAGUGGGGGAUAUUGCACAAUGGGGGGAACCCUGAUGCAGCGACGCCGCGUGGGUGAAGGAGCGUUUCGGCGCGUAAAGCCCUAUCGGCAGGGAAGAAGGAGGACGGUACCUGACUAAGAAGCCCCGGCUAACUACGUGCCAGCAGCCGCGGUAAUACGUAGGGGGCAAGCGUUAUCCGGAUUCACUGGGUGUAAAGGGAGCGUAGACGGCCAUGCAAGCCUGGAGUGAAAGCCCGGGGCCCAACCCCGGGACUGCUCUGGGAACUGUGCGGCUGGAGUGCGGGAGGGGCAGGCGGAAUUCCUGGUGUAGCGGUGAAAUGCGUAGAUAUCAGGAGGAACACCGGCGGCGAAGGCGGCCUGCUGGACCGCGACUGACGUUGAGGCUCGAAAGCGUGGGGAGCAAACAGGAUUAGAUACCCGAGUA
rnacentral:rRNA from 1 species